GGAAAACUUACCAGGUCCAGACAUAGUCAGGAUUGACAGAUUGACAGCUCUUUCUUGAUACUAUGGGUGGUGGUGCAUGGCCGUUCUUAGUUGGUGGAGUGAUUUGUCUGGUUAAUUCCGUUAACGAACGAGACCUUAACCUGCUAAAUAGCUACAUGAACCUUUCAGUUUCAUGGGUAUGCUUCUUAGAGGGACUUUGCGUGUAUAACGUAAGGAAGUUUGAGGCAAUAA
rnacentral:rRNA from 1 species